CUGUACGCACCAUAAUCCUGUUAUCAUCAUUUUCCUAGCUUUUAUAUUUUCCUCCUUUUCUAUAUCUUCUAUUGGUAAGUUUCCACUAGAGAGUUGGUCAUGAAGCCGAUAUGGACUGUAAACGUCACUUAAACUUUCAACAAAUGCAUUUACUUUCUUCUCUCUGUCCGCCAUUUCUAACACCAAUUGUCCAAAGCUAUACACAUCUGCUUUAUAUGAGACACGUUCAAUGUUUUUGUAGAAUUUGUUUCUAUAGAAUAUCUCUGGUGCCAUAUAUCCUAAUGUUCCCCUUUUAGCUGUAAGAGAUGCAAUGCUUCCCUUAGUUGGAUAAAAUUUAGCAAGGCCAAAAUCAGAGAUCUUUGGAGUGAAAUUUUCAUCAAGAAGAAUAUUGUGAGGUUUGAUGUCAAAAUGAAGGAUUUGCAUGUCACAACCUAGAUGUAGAUAUUCAAUGCCAUGAGCAACUCCAAGUGAUAUCUUAUAUAGUUUUUCCCAACUUAAGGAAACGGAUCCUUUAUGACAAUCAAUAUAAUUAUUAAGAGAUCCUUUAGACAUGAAUUCAUAUAUAAGAGCUUGCUUUGAUCUCUCAGCACAAAAACCAAUUAGUUGUACUACAUUAACAUGGUGAACCUGUCCAAUUGAUGCUACUUCAUUGAUAAAAUCUUGACCAUUUGCUUUAGACUUCCCUAACAUCUUUAUAGCUGCAAGGCGGCCGCUGCGAAGCUUCCCUUUGUAUACAGAGCCAUAACCUCCUUCACCCAACUUAUUCUUAAAGCCAUUUGUCAUCUUCCUAAUAUCAGAGUAAGAGUACCUUACUGGGGCAAAGUUGUUUUGACUUUGAAGAAAUUCUUCAAUGCUGUCAUACAUUGAUAAAUGCCUCCUUGACCAUGUAUAAAUCAAGAACGCCAUCACACAUGGAGUGCAACAAAUAGUUUUUGCAACUAUGAGUAAUCCAAUAAUCAUCAGUAUCGCAUACCGGCUGGCUCUGAUCCUGUCUCUCAAGUCCCUGAAGAAAUCUUCUGAACAGCCGGUGGGCCUAUCUAUGCCAUUUUCGCGAAAGCAAAAUUCUCGACCACUGCAAAUUUGACAGAAAAUUUGAGACCAUGAAAGCUCAAAUCCAUAUACCAGAUCAUUAUGGAUAUCCAUGAAGGAAAAGUUCUUGCCAACCCUUGCAGGUAACAAUGACAAAACCAUCAACUCUACACUGCAGGAGUUCUCAAUAUCUGUUAUGCUGGUAAAGUUAUCCAUGACAUAAGAAUAUUUUGCAUCAAUGCAAGGAGAAGAGUCCACAUAGAGUGGAGAAUUCACUGGAUUUGCACACUUCAUGAACAGAAUAAGCUUCGGUGGUCUGCUACUGAAAUUCCACCGGGGUGAAUUCAAGUCAUAAGGAUCUAUAUAGCUGAAGUUGGCUGCAGUCAAAGAAUAUCUUGGGAGGGAGGAGCAAUUAUCCUUGUGAACAGCAGCAUCAACGACUCUAAGAGUGGACUUAUCGUAAUUGAUUGCUUGCACAUAGUAUUUUCCGGCAUACAAGUACAAAACCGUUUGAUUUUUCUCACAAGACAAUUCAUACUCGUGGUAGCCGCAGUUUUGUGGAUCAUCUUUUAAUCGAAAAGGAUAGCUUAUGUUAUGGAGAUUGCCACAAGAAGAAGGAGCACAGAGAUGGCUAACCUGCGCAUUGCAAGCUUGGAGGUAAAUGAUGAGAACAGCAAUGGUUGAAAGACCAGAAAAGGGGAGCCUUGCCAUAAGAGAGUUUUUUUUGGAACUGUUGGGAAGAGGGAGAGUUAAGCAACCAAUUUUGAAAUUAAUGAUAUCUAGAAGUUUGGUCAAAGAAUUCAUGAAGGGAAGAAAUUUUAGCUUUGAAAUUGAAACUGUCCUCCCCAAGACAUUUUAUAAGCUAGAGCUGUUUUGAAAGCAACCCAUGGCACUGG
rnacentral:misc_RNA from 1 species